rnacentral:rRNA from 1 species
CGAAAGCCUGACGGAGCAAGACCGCGUGGGGGAAGAAGGCUCUUGGGUUGUAAACCCCUUUUCUCUGGGAAGAAAAUUGUGAAAGCAACCUGACGGUACCAGAGGAAUCAGCAUCGGCUAACUCCGUGCCAGCAGCCGCGGUAAGACGGAGGAUGCAAGCGUUAUCCGGAAUGAUUGGGCGUAAAGCGUCUGCAGGUGGCAGUUCAAGUCUGCUGUCAAAGACCGGGGCUUAACUUCGGAAAGGCAGUGGAAACUGAACAGCUAGAGUAUGGUAGGGGCAGAGGGAAUUCCUGGUGUAGCGGUGAAAUGCGUAGAGAUCAGGAAGAACAUCGGUGGCGAAGGCGCUCUGCUGGACCAUAACUGACACUCAGGGACGAAAGCUAGGGGAGCG